rnacentral:rRNA from 1 species
GACGAACGCUGGCGGCGUGCUUAACACAUGCAAGUCGAGCGGUAAGGCCCUUUCGGGGGUACGACGAGCGGCGAACGGGUAGGAGUAACACGUGGGUGGACCUCGCCCUCCAGCUCUGGGAGUAAGCCCGGGAAACCGUGGGUCGUAAUACUGGAUAUGACUCCAUGACGCAUGUUGUGGGGUGGAAAGCCUUGUGCGGCUGAGGAUGGGCCCGCGG